AGGUGCAAUCAUACCAGCACUAAUGCACCUAAUCCCAUGAGAACUCCACAGAUAAGCGUGCUUGGGCAAGAGUACUACUAGGAUGGGUGAGCUUCGGGGAAGUCCUCGUGUUGCACCUC
rnacentral:rRNA from 2 species